UGCCUGCCCAGUGAUUUUUAAGAAAAUUAAACGGCUGCGGUACUCUGACCGUGCAAAGGUAGCAUAAUCAUUAGCCUGUUAAUUCCAGGAUGGAAUCAAUGGCAAGACGAAGAAAAAACUGUCUCUUUCUAUUAAUUUAGAAGUUUUCAUUUUGGUGAAGAGGCCAAAAUAAUGAAGUGGGACGAGAAGACCCUAUUGAGUUUUAACUUUACUUUAAUAAAACUUAUAUUAUAGUGAGUUUUGAUUGGGGCAAUCAUUAAUAAAAUUAUACAUUAUAGAAGUUAAGGAAGAAUUAAGUCUUGUUUAAAGAGCCAAAAUAUUUUGAAGUUAGAAAAAAUUACCAUAGGGAUAACAGCGUAAUUCUUUUUGAGAGUACAUAUUGACAAAAGAGUUUGCGACCUCGAUGUUGGAUCAAGUUUUCCUGAAGGUGCAGUCGCUUUCAUGGGUUGGUUUGUUCAACCAUUAAAAUCUU
rnacentral:rRNA from 1 species